GGGGGAGAUGAUACAAGAAAACUUUGUCUCUACUGCCAAAGGGGUGUUGCAGACACUGAUUGAGAAGCAGUUCCCUGCGCCGGGAAGGAAGAGAGUUGCUGAUAUCUUAGGAUUAGAUAACGAUAGUGAUGCCAGUGAUAGGCGCUCUGAGCGCUCUUCCCCUGCACCCCCAC